AAUUGAACUUGAUGGUGAAAUU
rnacentral:miRNA from 1 species